rnacentral:lncRNA from 1 species
AUGAAAGGGUCGAAACAAUUAUAGAUGAAAUUAAUUCGAUGAGGGAGAGAAAGAGAAGAAUACAGAGAGGGGGGAGAAGGCCCAAGGCUCUCCGGCCACAGCGACAUCGCUGACGACGGCGGAUUGAAGCUCGGAUUUCUGAUGGCAGCGCCCGAUACUUGGAUGGUGGUCGAUCAUCCGAAAAGACUGGUCGUUGGGCUGAUCUGGUGGUGGUUAAAGAUCAGGUGAUGGAUUAACCGAGGGUUGAAUGGCACCAUCAUCCUCUUAAAUCGAUCAAGCUUGCAACCUGGCCAUAAUGCUGAAUCUUCCAACAUCUGACAUGAUAGAAUCAUGCUCCAUAGCUGGUCCUGGCUUUAUAAACGUUAAGUUAUCAACACAAUGGAUAGCCAAGAGAAUCCAGAAUAUGCUAUAACAGAUGGCAUUGACACAUGGGCACCAAGGCUCUCUGUCAAAAGGGCGAUAGUUGACUUUUCAUCACCCAACAUUGCAAAGGAAAUGCAUGUAGGUCAUUUGAGGUCAACUAUCAUUGGAGACACGAUAGCCCGUAUGCUUGAGUAUUCUAAAGUUGAUGUGCUUCGCAGAAACCAUGUUGGGGAUUGGGGCACUCAGUUUGGAAUGUUGAUUGAGUUUCUCUUUGAGAAGUUCCAGAUGGGGAGGUUACUGAUCAGGAUAUUGGAGAACUAGAGGUACCCAUGUCAAGCUCCCUGGUCCUUUCUUGAAAGAACCAAAUACGAAUUUCACACCUCUUACAUUAAGAUGAUACGGUUCGUAUGAACUAGGAGGCGUUUACAAUAAGACGAUACGGCUUUGUGAGGCUUCAAAGAGUAUUAACAAGUAAAAAUGUGAAGCGACUAAUGGUGACUGCCAUGAAGCAGAUGCAGCUGUUGGUUAGAGUCCAAACACAAAUUCAGUCACGUAGAAUCCAUAUGUCAAAGAAUCAAGCACAAGAACUAUCAUCAUUAGAACCUUUUAGGGGCUUUUGUUGGAGUGUACUUGAAAGUCUGCAAGUGUGGGUGUGGGGGUUGAUUGCUGGAAGUGGGCUUUCGAUACAUCAGGUAUGUUCACUGUUCGAAGUUUCAGGAAUCAUCUGCAUCAGGCUAGGUUCUUGGACCUGGGAACGGGUUUUGUUGUAACAACUUGACGCCUAUUAAGGUUAAUUUCCUGGACUGGAGAGUGUCACUAAAUAGGGUCUCAACGAACCUGGAGGAUGUUUUGUCCAUGGUAUGUCCUUUGAUUCGUGCCAGCUGUACCGGAGACAGUGGAUUAUCAAAUUUAAUGAUAAUGUUCUGGGAGACUUCAAUGGUGAAGCUGUGAUAGGCCAGUUUCCCUUGUUAUGAUUGGGGGAGAAAGAGUUUGUUUACGAAUGCUGCAUAACUUCUACGGCUUCACCUGCAUCGAUAGAGGGUUCUUACAUGUUUAUCCCGGGCAGGCGUGUCGUGCUAUGCUCAUCAUAUCUUUUUUUAGCAUUUGUAUUAGAUAAAUUUGUAAAAUGUGUGUAAUCUGUUUGCAGAUUGGCGGAUCCACAACGAAGCCCCUUUGAGGUUGAAAUUGCUAGAUUUCCUUUGGUUUUGCCAGAGUACAUCUUCUGAUGCAACUAUUCUGUUAUCCAUGGUCACUAUCUUGGCUUAAAGCCGUUUGUUUGAUUUCUGUCUCGACCCGUUAGUUAUACUUGUUAGGUAACUGGCUCGGUCUUGGUCUUUUCGGGUUGGGUCUGUUCACAACUGAAUAUCGUUUUAAGGUUUGCUUUAUAUUCCCGUCUGUAUUGUUGACUCCGCUGCAACGCGCGGGCUCCCCACUAGUUCAUAUUUAAUAACCAAAAUAAUCUAGAUAACUUGACUUUAAAAGUAGAAUAGUGUAAUCCUUACGAAAUUUCUUA